rnacentral:sRNA from 1 species
UCCUGCCUGCCCAGCUGUGAAUCUGUGUGUUUCUCUCUCCCCAUUCCCUAUCCCCAGUUCUCACAGCUGGUGAACGGGGAUGUGGCUCUGCUGGGCGGGGGCCUCUACAUGCUCUGCACUGAUGGGCAGCAGCUAUUGCGACAGGUCCUGCACCCCGAGGCCUCCAGGAAGAACCUGGUGCUCCCCGACAUGUUCUUCUCCUUCUAUGACCUCCGAAGAGAAUUCCAUACGCAGCAUCCAAGCACUUGCCCUGCCAGGGACCUCACUGUGGCCACCAUGGCACAGGGUAUCUGUGACCCAGCAGGGUUAGGGUGGAGAAGCCACUGUGGGUAUAUGUGUCUGAGUAUGUGCAUGCUGUGGGUGGGUAAUAUGGACACAUGCAAGACUGCAUUAUCUGCGAAGUCCCUGAGUGUACCCGUGUCUUUGUGUCUGUGCUAGGAUGAGUUUGGAAUGUGGGGUAUGUGUCUAUCUAUGUCUGGACUGGGAAUCUGUAAGUGCACACAUGAACUGGGCCAAAACAAAUGUGUAUAUGCUGGUCUCCAGCAUGUGUCUAUGGAGGGAAGUUGGGCCCAGGGGUAAACAGGAUUAGUGCUUACACUAAGAUGUCUUCACUGUCACUUCUCUGCCCAUAGAUUUAGGACUGGAGACAGAUGCCACAGAGGAUGACUUUGGGGUCUGGGAAGUCAAGACAAUGGUAGCUGUUAUCCUCCACCUACUCAA